rnacentral:lncRNA from 1 species
CACAAACAUAACAAAUUCAACGGCACCUAUACAUACAAUUUUGAUGACAAAAUGAUCACAUGCCUGCAUAAUUUUAUUGCGCAUAUUGAGAAGAGUAGUAGAUGAAAGGCAGUCGGGUAGAACAAAGCUAUUUACAAGAACUUCAAUGUUUGCCACUCUGCAAGUAUGUUGCUCGAGGCUUUGUAUAUGUCAAACGCUGCAAGACUGAAUUCGAAAAACAAGUAUUUCCAAGAUUUUCAAGACCAGCACCCUGUAAAUCAUGCAUGUCAUCAUCAGAAUUAACUUGCGGAUAACGUCAGUGUAAAUUCAAGGUCCUACAAUCAAGCAACUAUAACUUAAAACUCAAUAUUAUUUUCAUAAACAAUUUGAGCCGGUUUCAAAUAAAACAAAUACAGCAAAAUCAAAUCCCAAAAAGAUGUUUUCAAUAAGAACACAUUAAUCAUGCAGCUUACAUCAGUAAAAAGAUUCAUCAUUUAAUUAAAUUUGUGGUUCUUUGGAUAUACAUUAAUUUCUGUGUUUCUAUCUUUAAUCUCUCUUGCUGUUAAUUAAGUUCUAGUGCUGCUGCUGCUGCUGCUGCUACAGUGCUACUAUUACACUUUUUUUUCAUCUUAGUAAUUGUACUUUUAUUUUUUGUGCAAAUUGCUUGUUUCUGUUUUAGAUCAACUGGCUAGCUAGCAUAUACACUGAAGGACUAGAAAUGUUGACUAGUAUUAAUUAAUUAGUAUGCAUUCUCUUUUGUUGUGUGAUUUGCAAGGGUUUUGUGAUGAUGAAUCUAGUAUGAGUUUUCUUUAAUUUGAUAUUACAUUUCAUUUCUUAUGCAUAUGUAAGAAAUGAGUUUAAUAAAUCUCCUAAUAAUUUUUUAGAACAAAUUUGCUGAAUUUUUCUUGGCGCAUGCUUACACAUGUUGGAAGGCCCAUAUGCCAUGACCAUAUAGACUUAUCUAUAUUUUGUUCUGAUAUGAAUCAAAAUUAAGUCCAAAAAAAUUGCAUGAUCACAUGUUUGGUGCAGCAAAAAACAUCUAGAGUAUUUGACAUCUAGAACACUAUAAUAUUAAAAGAAACAAAAAAGUGUUCUAGCUACUAAUAUGCUUUGCCAAUGCAAACAUGGUCCAAGUCCUAAGAUUAACUGUUACAUUGGGAAGGAUACCCUCAAAACUUUAAAAAUAAAGGACUAGAAUAUAAGAUUGCUUUCAUGCAACUAUAAACUAACAAACUCUAAACUCUAAAAAAAUAAAUAAGGUACAAUUUACUUACCAUAUCAAAUUAAUUUCUUUACUGCAAACUAUUCCAACAAAAGAAAUGGCAACAAAUUGUGCAAGAAAGGAGAUGGCAGCAAGCUAUUCCAACAAAAAAAACAAGAUCAACUAUUACACAAGGAAAGAUACCAUCUUUCAACAAAUUAAAAUAAAAAUUUUGUAUCAAAAGUUGAAUUAGGUUCUAAGUAUAAAAAAGUAUUAGAUGGUAUACAUAUGUUGCAAAACCAGUACUACCACUUCAUCAAUUCCCAAUAACCCCAAGAUUUAAUGCAAAAUUACCCCUAAAUUUGCAAAUUAUCUAGCUCCCGAUCCUGCUACUAGUACUAUUAUUAUUGCUAAAUAAUUAUCCCUUUUCUCUAAUCCUUCAUCUCCUAAAUCUACAUCACAACUGCUACUACUACUCCUAUUACUAAUCCUAACAAACCAACAUCCUUUGCGCUCUUUCAACAAAUUAAUUAAUCAAUUUUUUUAAUUAGGCUUUUCACUAGAUUAUUUAUAUAAUUAAUUAAUGUAACUUAGAUUUGUGUGAAAUAAACAACAUGCAAAAUGAGGACAGAACAAAAAUCAUACCAAGGGUUUUGAAAAGAUGACAGUGCGGAAGAUGGCAAGAUGAGGACAUAAAAUGAUGGCAAGGAUCACGAUGUCAAGGAGGACGAUAGCGAGGAAGACGAUGGUGACACCACAAAAUGCACCUUCACUUAGUCAAUUUCACAAUGUAAUCGAUAGCUAGUGCGCGAGGCAGACGAUAUUUGAGAUUCCGGCAAGAUGAUGGUGAAAAGGAAGUCAGUUUCGAGAGAUUCAGAGAAGUCAGUACCAAGGGUUUUAAGUUAGUACCCUUUGCAUUCUCUCUAUUUGUGUUGUG